rnacentral:rRNA from 1 species
AUUGAACGCUGGCGGCAUGCCUUACACAUGCAAGUCGAACGGCAGCACGGGGGCAACCCUGGUGGCGAGUGGCGAACGGGUGAGUAAUGCAUCGGAACGUGCCCAGUAGUGGGGGAUAACCCGGCGAAAGCCGGGCUAAUACCGCAUACGACCUACGGGUGAAAGCGGGGGACCGUAAGGCCUCGCGCUAUUGGAGCGGCCGAUGUCUGAUUAGCUAGUUGGCGGGGUAAAGGCCCACCAAGGCGACGAUCAGUAGCUGGUCUGAGAGGACGACCAGCCACACUGGGACUGAGACACGGCCCAGACUCCUACGGGAGGCAGCAGUGGGGAAUUUUGGACAAUGGGCGCAAGCCUGAUCCAGCCAUGCCGCGUGCGGGAAGAAGGCCUUCGGGUUGUAAACCGCUUUUGGCAGGAACGAAACGGCGCAAGCUAAUACCUUGCGCUAAUGACGGUACCUGCAGAAUAAGCACCGGCUAACUACGUGCCAGCCGCCGCAGUAACAC